AUGAGGACUCUUGCUGGACCUUUCCUCCUAUUCUUGUGGCUGCAGCUGCAUUGUGUGCGUAGAGGACAGAUGGUGGAGCAGAGUCCUUCUUUCCUGAGUGUCUGGGAGGGAGACGGCUGUGUUAUCAGCUGCACUUACACAGACAGCACCUUCAACUCCUUCUAUUGGUAUAAGCAAGAACCUGGAGCAGGCCUCCAGUUGCUUUUAAAUAUUUUCUCAAGUAUGGACAAGAAAGAAGAGAAAAGCUUCACUGUCUUCAUGAAUAAGAAGGACAAACAUCUCUCCCUGCACAUCGCAGCUGCCCAUGCUGUGGACUCAGCCACCUACUUCUGUGCAGCCUCAGCACAGUGCUCCCCAGGCACCCGAAGCCUGUACCCAAACCUGCAGGAUGGCUGUUGCAAUAUCCAUCAGGAUGAAAGAAAUCUAUUUAGUGGUUUAGCAGUUGAGUGUCUGACCACAAGAGGGCAGAGCGUCUCUGCAGACCCCUGUAUAGGACAGGCUCUUUUUGGUUGA